rnacentral:rRNA from 1 species
AGCGAACGCUGGCGGCAGGCCUAACACAUGCAAGUCGAACGAACUCUUCGGAGUUAGUGGCGGACAGGUGAGUAACACGUGGGAACGUGCCUUUAGGUUCGGAAUAACUCAGGGAAACUUGUGCUAAUACCGAAUGUGCCCUUCGGGGGAACGAUUUAUCGCGUUUAGAGCGGCCCGCGGCUGAUUAGCUAGUUGGUGAGGUAAAGGCUCACCAAGGCGACGAUCAGUAGCUGGUCUGAGAGGAUGAUCAGCCACAUUGGGCCUGAGACACGGCCCAAACUCCUACGGGAGGCAGCAGUGGGGAAUCUUGCGCAAUGGGCGAAAGCCUGACGCAGCCAUGCCGCGUGAAUGAUGAAGGUCUUAGGAUUGUAAAAUUCUUUCACCGGGGACGAUAAUGACGGUACCCGGAGAAGAAGCCCCGGCUAACUUCGUGCCAGCCGCCGCAGUAA